UACCAGCACCCCGAGUGGUCGGGACGUUUUAUUGGGCCUAAAGCAUCCGUAGCCGGUUCUACAAGUCUUCCGUUAAAUCCACCUGCUUAACAGAUGGGCUGCGGAAGAUACUAUAGAGCUAGGAGGCGGGAGAGGCAAGCGGUACUCGAUGGGUAGGGGUAAAAUCCGUUGAUCCAUUGAAGACCACCAGUGGCGAAGGCGGCUUGCCAGAACGCGCUCGGACGGUGAGGGAUGAAAGCUGGGGGAG
rnacentral:rRNA from 1 species